ACAUAGUUGGCUUAUACUAAUCAGAUUGGCAGUUAGGCCUUUUACAAGGAGAACAUUUUCAAGUUUUGGUAGACCAUUGUCAAUCAGUCUUCCAAUACCUCUGAUUUCCCCCUUUGCUCCAUCUCCAAAUGUCACAAAGCUUGUGGCAUAGGAUUUUACUUCUUUUAAAUACUUUUCAACACCAGUCAUGUGUCUGGAACAACCACUAUCAAAGUACCAAUCUUCUUUUGAU
rnacentral:lncRNA from 1 species